ensembl:lncRNA
UUCAGCAGAGUGAACACUUGUAGAUUUAUUAGGUUUUUCGAUGGCCCACCCAUCUGAGUCAGUGACCUUUAGCAAUUGUGAUGGGAGAGAAAGGGAUGAGCUACAGAGUGGCUGGAUGACCAGGCUGAAAGCCGUCAUUCCUGGGCCUCUGUUUGGAGAAGCCUUCUUUGGAAGAAGCUGGGAGCCUGCUGGAAUUUGAACCCACAUCUAAGAGAUCUCAGUUCCCGGAUGGAUUUGUUCCAACCUGGUCUGCCCGCCUCUCUGUGGAAUAUCUCUCUGCUCUCUCUGCCUUUUGAAAUUAUUUCUCCAGGCUGGAUUUGGCUGCCUCUGCCACCAACAGGGGAAUGAGACGCUGUGAGUUUUAUACACAGGGCAUGGACAGAGGCUGCCACGAAAUGCUGAGUGAGGGAUGGCGCACUGACCGCGCGGGUGAGCAUGGUGCCCCCUCCACCCCUCCUCCCAGGGCCCAGCUUUUCUGAAUUGCUGGCCAGUGUGGAGACCACCUGUUCAGCUGAUCCCCACUGCAGGCCCAAAGCACAGAGGAGACUGAGGCUCAGAGAGGUGAGGUGACCCACCUGCUGCCCUUAACAUACUAACAUUGGCCCUGGGGUCUGGCUUUGUACCCGACAUACCCCAAAUCCCUUCUUUCUGGGCCACCUGUUCUUGGUCUGUGUUAAAGGCACCUUUGCCAACCUGGUGAAAGCCAUAGGACCCUUCCUUGGAAAAAAAAUUGAAAAGAAUUUCAUGGGCUUCCAGAACAGGGCCAGGCAUAGAUUAAGAACUCUUUUCCUGCAUGUUUGCAGUAUAUGCAUGCGAUGUGGGAUUUAUAGUUAUACACUUUGUUUCAGAUAGCAUCUAACCAUGUAAUCCAUCCAUUGCUUCGAGAAAUAUUCAUUAAGCACCUACUACGUGAAAACCACUGUUCCAGGUGCUAGAGAUACUUUGUGAAGCUGACGUCCUGGGGUGGGAGGCGGGGUGGUGUGGAACAAAUGAUAAAAAGAGGCAAAGUCGUAGUGGUUAUUAGUGCUGUAAAUAAAUCACCCCAACCUUUUUGGCACCAGGGACCGGUUUUGUGGAAGGCAAUUUUUCCACGGACAGAGGGGGAGGUUUGGGGAUGAUUCAAGGGCCUUAUACUUACUGUGCACUUUAUUUCUGUUACUGUUACAUCAACUCCAUCUCAGCUCAUCAGGCGUUAGGUCCUGGAGGCCGGGGAGCCCUGCUCUAAAUGGUCCUAGUUCUCUGUCUUCUGGGCACACGGUGACAUCUGUUGGUGGCUCACGUGGGGUGGCGAGAGCAGAGGUGGCGAGAAGUGGUCAGAUGGUCAGAUCCUGGAUAUGUUUUGAAGACGGAACUGAGACACGGGUUCCAUCCCUGGUCCGGGAAGAUUCCACGUGCCACGGGGCAACUGAGCCCAUGUACCACAACUACUGAGCCCUUGUGCCUACAGCCUGUGCUCUGCAACGAGAGAAGCCACCGCCAUGAGAAGCCCAUGCGCCACAACGAAGGGUAACCCUGCUCUCUGCGGCUAGACAAAGCUUUGCGCAGCCCCAAAUAAAUUAAUUAAUAAAUGAUCUUAAAAAAA